UGUUUAAAAUAUUAUAGCUAAACACUUUUGAUUCAUGAUUGGCUCUGAUACUAACUAUCCCGUCCUACUUUUUAAAAAUAUCACACAUUUAGAAACUACCCUAGCCCUAACCUCUUGAGUGUAACCAUCAUCCAAAACAUUAUAGACACGUUUAGAGAUUCAGUUUUAUUUUAUCUUAUAUAUAAGAUUAUUCUAAAUUUUAGAGUGUCAUAGAGGACAAUAGACACAUUUUUAAAAGCGACACUAUCUAUACACCUAUAAAUUAGGUGCAAAUAUUUUACCCUACUAUUUUAAAGAUUCAGAUUUAUUCACUUACCUCAUCAAUUGUUUUAGGCCAAUUUGCAUAAAAAAUUCACAAGUUUUCAGCUUUUGCAAAACUAGGCCACUAUUUUGGAUUUUGCAGACUCGAUUCGAAUUUUCAGAACACUGACCAAAAUACCUUUAUUCUUUUUUCUCUCUCUUCUUUUCUUUUACGCUUUUUUUUCUCUCCGACUCUUCACCUCCGCCGAUAUGAUGGUACCACUACUGUAAUUUGCACUUGUCACGCCCCCGCCCCGAAACUACUACCAAUUUGGCACGAUUCGGGCGCGCCGGGCGGACCGCUGAACGGACAACACCUCCCCUGCCCGUCUAAGGCCUAAGAACAGAUUGAGUACAAGAAUUUACCCAGAAAUUUAAAUUCUAUAAGUAUGCAAUCAACAGGGCACAAAUAGUUCCAACAACAACAAUAGCAAGUAAUCCACAAGUAAAAACAAGUGAAAUAAAGAGAGUACUCUACUAACUAUCACAAUAGUUGCUUCCUUUUACAUUUACAUCUUUUCUCAAAAUGAAUACAUUU
rnacentral:lncRNA from 1 species